rnacentral:rRNA from 1 species
UACGGAGGGUGCAAGCGUUGCUCGGAAUUAUUGGGCGUAAGGGGUAGGUAGGUGGUCUUAUUUGUGUGGGGUGAAAGCCUUGGGCUUAACUCAAGAAGUGCCCCGCAAACGGUAAGACUAGAGUCUUGGAGAGGCUAGCGGAAUUCCCGGUGUAGCGGUGAAAUGCGUAGAGAUCGGGAGGAACACCAGAGGCGAAGGCGGCUAGCUGGACAAGCACUGACACUCAACUACGAAAGCGUGGGGAGCAAACAGG